UACGUAGGGAGCAAGCGUUUGUUCGGAUUACUGGGCGUAAAGGGCGCGUAGGCGGCGCGGUAAGUCACUUGUGAAAUCUCUGAGCUUAACUCAGAACGGCCAAGUGAUACUGCAGUGCUAGAGUGCAGAAGGGGCAAUCGGAAGUUCUUGGUGUAGCGGGUGAAAUGCGCAGAUAUCAGGAGGAACACCAGCGGCGAAGGCGGCGCUCUGGGCCGGAACUGACGCUGAGGAGCGAAAGCGUGGGUAGCAAACAGG
rnacentral:rRNA from 1 species